UAUAUUUUAUUGUAAGAUGCAUAAAAGUUUUUGAUACUUUAGGUAAUAGUUUAAUUCUAUUAAAUAUAA
rnacentral:tRNA from 1 species